CUGUAUGAUGAGAGUUUAAAUUCCUACCAUAGCCAUAUAUACAUGCUUGCUAGACUUUGAGCCACACAUUUACUUUUUACUGCUUAUGAGCAUUGCGUGUGGUCAAGCUGUGUAGACCCUUAGGAGCUUGUCAUGUGGUUAAAUCAAGAUUCACUUGCACGUUCACUCACACAUGUUGCUUCUACUCCGGAAGUACGCAUCCACAUAUAUCCACUCAUUACCAUCUCCAGAACCACCCAAAAGUAUUCUACUCCUAAUCCGGGAGAGAAUAGCCAAAAACAUUUCUGUUUUUCCCUAUGAAAUAAAUGCUCAAGUUAUCUUGGUUACUACCACUUGCUACAUUAUUUCAAGAGUUGAGUGCUCUAAAAAAAGAGAAAGGAUACGAGGAAAUAAAAAGGGGCAAGUGCCCGGAACCUCGAAAGAAAAGAAAAAGUGAGACGAGAGGUAAAAAUGGACAAGUGUCCGACAGUAGAAUUAGGGGUACAAGAUACCCACCUGAG
rnacentral:lncRNA from 1 species